AGAGUUUGAUCAUGGCUCAGGACGAACGCUGGCGGCACGCUUAACACAUGCAAGUCGAACGAGAGAAGAGGAGCUUGCUUUUCUGAUCUAGUGGCGGACGGGUGAGUAACACGUGAGCAAUCUGCCUUUCAGAGGGGGAUACCGAUUGGAAACGAUCGUUAAUACCGCAUAACAUAAUUGAACCGCAUGAUUUGAUUAUCAAAGAUUUAUCGCUGAAAGAUGAGCUCGCGUCUGAUUAGCUAGUUGGUAAGGUAACGGCUUACCAAGGCGACGAUCAGUAGCCGGACUGAGAGGUUGAUCGGCCACAUUGGGACUGAGACACGGCCCAGACUCCUACGGGAGGCAGCAGUGGGGAAUAUUGCACAAUGGAGGAAACUCUGAUGCAGCGAUGCCGCGUGAGGGAAGAAGGUUUUAGGACUGUAAACCUCUGUCUUCAGGGACGAAAAAAGACGGUACCUGAGGAGGAAGCUCCGGCUAACUACGUGCCAGCAGCCGCGGUAAUACGUAGGGAGCGAGCGUUGUCCGGAAUUACUGGGUGUAAAGGGAGCGUAGGCGGGAUCGCAAGUCAGAUGUGAAAACUAUGGGCUUAACCCAUAAACUGCAUUUGAAACUGUGGUUCUUGAGUGAAGUAGAGGUAAGCGGAAUUCCUAGUGUAGCGGUGAAAUGCGUAGAUAUUAGGAGGAACAUCAGUGGCGAAGGCGGCUUACUGGGCUUUAACUGACGCUGAGGCUCGAAAGCGUGGGGAGCAAACAGGAUUAGAUACCCUGGUAGUCCACGCCGUAAACGAUGAUUACUAGGUGUGGGGGGACUGACCCCUUCCGUGCCGCAGCAAACGCAAUAAGUAAUCCACCUGGGGAGUACGACCGCAAGGUUGAAACUCAAAGGAAUUGACGGGGGCCCGCACAAGCAGUGGAGUAUGUGGAUUAAUUCGAAGCAACGCGAAGAACCUUACCAGGUCUUGACAUCGUAUGCAUAGCUCAGAGAUGAGUGAAAUCUCUUCGGAGACAUAUAGACAGGUGGUGCAUGGUUGUCGUCAGCUCGUGUCGUGAGAUGUUGGGUUAAGUCCCGCAACGAGCGCAACCCUUACUGUUAGUUGCUACGCAAGAGCACUCUAGCAGGACUGCCGUUGACAAAACGGAGGAAGGUGGGGAUGACGUCAAAUCAUCAUGCCCCUUAUGACCUGGGCCUCACACGUACUACAAUGGCUGUCAACAGAGGGAAGCAAAGCCGCGAGGUGGAGCGAACCCCUAAAAGCAGUCUUAGUUCGGAUUGUAGGCUGCAACCCGCCUACAUGAAGUCGGAAUUGCUAGUAAUCGCAGAUCAGCAUGCUGCGGUGAAUACGUUCCCGGGCCUUGUACACACCGCCCGUCACGCCAUGGGAGUCGGUAACACCCGAAGCCUGUAGUCUAACCGCAAGGAGGACGCAGUCGAAGGUGGGAUUGAUGACUGGGGUGAAGUCGUAACAAGGUA
rnacentral:rRNA from 1 species